AACAAGGCGUACCUGCGGACCUGCGGAGGGAUCAUUACAAGUGACCCCGGUUUACCACCGGGAUGUUCAUAACCCUUUGUUGUCCGACUCUGUUGCCUCCGGGGCGACCCUGCCUUCGGGCGGGGGCUCCGGGUGGACACUUCAAACUCUUGCGUAACUUUGCAGUCUGAGUAAACUUAAUUAAUAAAUUAGAACUUUCAACAAUGGAUCU
rnacentral:misc_RNA from 1 species